UACGUAGGGUGCAAGCGUUAUCCGGAAUUAUUGGGCGUAAAGAGCUCGUAGGCGGUUUGUCGCGUCUGCUGUGAAAACUAGAGGCUCAACCUCCAGCCUGCAGUGGGUACGGGCAAACUAGAGUGCGGUAGGGGAGAUUGGAAUUCCUGGUGUAGCGGUGAAAUGCGCAGAUAUCAGGAGGAACACCGGUGGCGAAGGCGGGUCUCUGGGCCGAUACUGACGCUGAGGAGCGAAAGCGUGGGGAGCGAACAGG
rnacentral:rRNA from 1 species